CUUGUCCUCAUUUGCAAGUCGCUUUGGAUAAAAGCGUCUGCUAAAUAACUAAAU
rfam:Danio rerio chromosome 13, GRCz11 reference primary assembly.